rnacentral:rRNA from 1 species
GAGUUUGAUCAUGGCUCAGGACGAACGCUGGCGGCGUGCUUAACACAUGCAAGUCGAACGGAAAGGCCCUGCUUUUGUGGGGUGCUCGAGUGGCGAACGGGUGAGUAACACGUGAGUAACCUGCCCUUGGCUUUGGGAUAACUUCAGGAAACUGGGGCUAAUACCGGAUAGGAGCUCCUGCUGCAUGGUGGGGGUUGGAAAGUUUCGGCGGUUGGGGAUGGACUCGCGGCUUAUCAGCUUGUUGGUGGGGUAGUGGCUUACCAAGGCUUUGACGGGUAGCCGGCCUGAGAGGGUGACCGGCCACAUUGGGACUGAGAUACGGCCCAGACUCCUGCGGGAGGCAGCAGUGGGGAAUAUUGCACAAUGGGCGGAAGCCUGAUGCAGCAACGCCGCGUGCGGGAUGACGGUCUUCGGGUUGUAAACCGCUUCGCCUGUGACGAAGCGUGAGUGACGGCAAUGGGUAAAGAAGCACCGGCUAACUACGUGCCAGCAGCCGCGGUAAC